rnacentral:rRNA from 1 species
CUCUGUGACUCCUACGGGAGGCAGCAGUGGGGAAUAUUGCACAAUGGGCGCAAGCCUUGAUGCAGCCAUGCCGCGUGUAUGAAGAAGGCCUUCGGGUUGUAAAGUACUUUCAGCAGUGAGGAAGGUAGUGUAGUUAAUAGCUGCAUUAUUUGACCGUUAGCUGCAGAAGAAGCACCGGCUAACUCCGUGCCAGCAGCCGCGGUAAUACGGAGGGUGCGAGCGUUAAUCGGAAUUACUGGGCGUAAAGCGCAUGCAGGCGGCCUGUUAAGUCAGAUGUGAAAGCCCGGGGCUUAACCUCGGAAUUGCAUUUGAAACUGGCAGGCUAGAGUCUUGUAGAGGGGGUAGAAUUUCAGGUGUAGCGGUGAAAUGCGUAGAGAUCUGAAGGAAUACCAGUGGCGAAGGCGGCCCCCUGGACAAAGACUGACGCUCAGAUGCGAAAGCGUGGGGAGCAAACAGGAUUAGAUACCCUGGUAG